AAUGGGGGCAACCCUGAUCCAGCCAUUCCGCGUGAGUGAAGAAGGCCUUCGGGUUGUAAAGCUCUUUCGGCAGGAACGAAACGGUGAGGGCUAAUAUCCCUUGCUAAUGACGGUACCUGAAGAAGAAGCACCGGCUAACUACGUGCCAGCAGCCGCGGUAAUACGUAGGGUGCGAGCGUUAAUCGGAAUUACUGGGCGUAAAGCGUGCGCAGGCGGUUUUGUAAGACAGCUGUGAAAUCCCCGGGCUUAACCUGGGAACUGCGGUUGUGACUGCAAGACUGGAGUGCGGCAGAGGGGGGUGGAAUUCCACGUGUAGCAGUGAAAUGCGUAGAGAUGUGGAGGAACACCGAUGGCGAAGGCAGCCCCCUGGGUCGACACUGACGCUCAUGCACGAAAGCGUGGGGAGCAAA
rnacentral:rRNA from 1 species